UCCUGGUGUCUGGGACCCACCAUGGUACAGU
rnacentral:piRNA from 1 species